GACGAACGCUGGCGGCGUGCUUAACACAUGCAAGUCGAACGGAAAGGCCCUGCUUGUGUGGGGUGCUCGAGUGGCGAACGGGUGAGUAACACGUGAGUAACCUGCCCUUGACUUUGGGAUAACUUCAGGAAACUGGGGCUAAUACCGGAUAGGAGCUCCUGCUGCAUGGUGGGGGUUGGAAAGUUUCGGCGGUUGGGGAUGGACUCGCGGCUUAUCAGCUUGUUGGUGGGGUAGUGGCUUACCAAGGCUUUGACGGGUAGCCCGCCUGAGAGGGUGACCGGCCACAUUGGGCCUGCGAUACGCCCCAGACUCCUACGUGAGGCAGCAGUGGCGAAUAUUGCACAAUGGGCCGAAGCCUGAUGCAGCGACGCCGCGUUCGGGAUGACGGCCUUCGGGUUGUAAACCGCUUUCGCCUGUGACGAAGCGUGAGUGACGGUACUGGGUAAAGAAGCACCGGCUAACUACGUG
rnacentral:rRNA from 1 species